GAUGGAGCACGCCGCGUGUGUGAUGAAGGCUUUCGGGUCGUAAAGCACUGUUGUAUGGGAAGAAAUGCUAAAAUAGGGAAUGAUUUUAGUUUGACGGUACCAUACCAGAAAGGGACGGCUAAAUACGUGCCAGCAGCCGCGGUAAU
rnacentral:rRNA from 1 species